GAUGGAUGGUUUGCAAAUAUUUUCUCCCAUUCUGUGGGUUGUCUCUUCAUUUUGUGAAUUAUUUCCUUUGCUGUGCAGAAGCUUUAUAACUUGAAGUGAUCCCACUUGUCCAUUAUUUGCUUUGAUUGCCUAUGCUUUGGAGGCUGUUAAUCAA